GGUGGCCUAGUGGUAUAGUCGCUGCCUGGCAAGCAGUAGAUGGCAGGUUUAAAUCCUGCUGGCUCCG
rnacentral:tRNA from 1 species